rnacentral:rRNA from 1 species
UACGGAGGGGGCGAGCGUUGUCCGAAUUUACUGGGCGUAAAGGGUGCGUAGGCGGGUCUUUAAGUCAGGGGUGAAAUCCUGGAGCUCAACUCCAGAACUGCCUUUGAUACUGAAGAUCUUGAGUUCGGGAGAGGUGAGUGGAACUGCGAGUGUAGAGGUGAAAUUCGUAGAUAUUCGCAAGAACACCAGUGGCGAAGGCGGCUCACUGGCCCGAUACUGACGCUGAGGCACGAAAGCGUGGGGAGCAAACAGG